AAUCGCUCAUAUCCGUCAUACAUAAUGACGUCUAAUUUGCGGUCUUUAAAAUAACUUUCUUGUAUCGCAAGUAAAUAUUAAGUAUUUGUACUCGUAUUACCUAAUUCUACCAAUUUAUUUCAUCCGUUUUGGAAACCAGUAACCAAAAAAGAAAAGACAAUGUCAAGAAUUGAACCCGGAAUCACUUGCACUAGAUUUGCUAAAACAAACACACACUAAGGCAGCAUCACGAAACGGUUCUAAAUAAUUAGAAAAUGGCCCCCUGAACAUGUGGUACCAAUACUAUAGAGCCCAAGCACAUUAGCCGUUAGCCGCAAGGGAACAUCUAAGCCAGGCAUAUCAGGGAAGAGUGGUUGGUAGAGUCGCACCAAGAGCAAGGCUUCCACGUUCACCAGACCUGACCGUAUGCGUUUUCUUUUUAUGGGGUCAUAAUUAUGAAAGCGCUUGUGUACGACACUCCGGUUCAACCGAGGAAGAGUUAGUAAGAAGGAUUAUGACGCUGCUGCUAAAAUUUAACAAAUUCCGGAAGUUUGGUUUAAAUGGUACGACGCGGUCACGCUUGCAUACCGUGGUAUGCACGGUACCGUAGUAUCAAAUAGUUCGAAGCGGGUGGUCAAAAUUUUGAAUAUCUUUUAAAGUAAAACAUAUAUUUUUUUAAUAAACUCUCCCAAAUA